UACGUAGGGUGCAAGCGUUGUCCGGAAUUAUUGGGCGUAAAGAGCUCGUAGGCGGCUCAUCAAGUCUGCUGUCAAAGGCAGGGGCUUAACCCCUGAAAGGCAGUGGAAACUGGGGAGCUAGAGUGCAGUAGGGGUAGAGGGAAUUCCCGGUGUAGCGGUGAAAUGCGUAGAGAUCGGGAAGAACAUCGGUGGCGAAAGCGCUCUGCUGGACUGCAACUGACACUAAAGGACGAAAGCUAGGGGAGCGAAUGGG
rnacentral:rRNA from 1 species